CCAAUGAAGUUGACACUCAAUAUUAAACAUCACACUCUGGAAAUGCUCAGCUCCAGCUCCUGAGGUCAACACUCUCUCCUAAACUUCAGUUCAUUCAACGAACAUUGAUGGAGAACCUGCCAGAGGACGCAGUAACAAGGCACCAUCUUAGAAGCAGUGACCGAGCCCUCACCAGACACUGAGCCCACUGGCACCUUUAUUGGACUUCCAAGGCUCCAAAACUGUGAAAAUUACCCAGUCUUAGGUAUUUUGUCACAGCAGCAUAAACAGACUAAGACGCUUUCCUCACUCAUAGGCCAGGUAAGGCUUGGGUGUAAUAUCUCAGUACACAGUCUCAUCCUAGCUAACAGCCAGACUAUGACAAGUGGGCAGGAACCAGGCCACACGUCGAUAAUGAUGUGUUAUGGUUUUAAGAUUAUGGUGCUUCUCAUCUGACUUUUCUAUUUAUGAUAAGAAAUGUAAGACGUUGAUAGAUGAUAAUUCAAAUUUAAAGUAAAAAUGUCUUACUAUUGCCCUUUUAAACUUCCAGAACAGUUAAGGGCAUUUAGAGAUUGCAAACUGAGUUUUUUUUUUUUCUUUUAAAAACUACUUUUUGCAACUAGUUCUCAGAGUGAAUCAGAAUAUUCUCAAUAGUAUAUAAUUAGAAAUAUAUAUAAAUAUAUACAUAUAUAUAAAAUGGAAGUUGGGUUUGUCACACAUAUGCCCAAAAUGUUGUAUUAAUUAAUACUUCUUUAUUGAUCUUAUUGAUUCAUUCUGUAACCGUCAUAAAUUUGAACUUACAAACUAAAUGUCUGUUAACAAAAUGCUGCUUUUAUUUUUUUUUCAUAUGCUGGAGUUUUCCAUGAGAUUUUGUUGGGGAAAAAUAUAUGUAAUGCUGAAGAAGUUUGAACACCGUGGAGCAAACCUAAGGAUUUAGCUGCACAGGCAAGGGCCUUCCAGCACUGGCCCCGCCUGCCUCUUCAGCCUCAACUCCCCUCUCAGAACCCCUUACACCCUGAGGAGCAAAAUCACCAGCUCUCCCUCCAUCUGAGCCUUUGUUUAAACAUGUUGCAUCCUCCUCUGGAAUGCACUCCCCCUCCUCACCUCCCAUGCACCCCCUUGAACGUCACCCCUAGGAAGCCAUCCUGACCUCUCCAGGGAUAGGGUCUGUGUUCCCACGUAAAUGCUCCUCCAGCACUUCCCACCAUUGAUGUAAAUUUUGCUUGCAUGUCUGAGUUCCUAGAUGGGAAGGGCAGUCGCUUAUUGAUAUUUAUUUACACAGCGGCUAUUCAUUACCUGGCUCAUAAUAUGUGCUUAAUAAAUGUGAAUUGAAUGAACAAAUGAAUAAUUUAAAUAACAACCAGGAUUUAGUCCUUAAUGGAUUUGAGCUUCUAUAUUUCUAAAAUGCUCAUGGCUGACACUGAAUGCAUACUAAGUAUCAGGAACUGCCCUAUUUCUACGAAUUUCUUCUUUAAUCCUCAAAAACAGUUCUAUGAGGUAGGUAGUACAAUUAUCAUGCUAAUUUUUCAGAUGAGGAAAAUGAAGUACAAUGAGGUGAUAUGACUUGAGCAAGUUCCCCAGCUAGUAAAAGGCACAGAGACACUUGACUCUAAGGAGUCCACCAUUGUCCUCUACGGGAUGCACCGUACUGCUUACACAGAGAAGCCUACAUGCAAUAGGCCUUCCUUUCCUCUUUCCAUUCUAUUUACUUGCUUCUUCUUUUUUUUUUUUUUUUUUUUUUUUUUUAGAUGGAGUCUCACUCUGUUGCCCAGGCUGGACUGCAGUGGUGUGAUCUUGGCUCACUACAGCCUCCGCCUCCCGGAUUCAAGCGAU
rnacentral:lncRNA from 10 species